UGCUGGUAUGUUGUUGACGUCUGCACCUACAGAAAGACCUUCUCCUAAUCCUGGCUGGUAAGCUACCUAGUGUUCGUCAUCAGAAGUUCUCCAACAGUAACAAAACCCGCUCUAGUCUGAAAGAGACGAGCGGAUUUGGACCAAUCACCGACUUCGAUGUGCAACAGUUUGUUCACAAGGAGGUGCGUACGUUGUUCUACGCCCAACCGGGUAUGCUGGACACGGGACCAGAAGCAUACGUGUAUGAUGUGUGGCUGCCGGAGUUUGUCAUUCGCUACAUCAUGCUGGUCGAGGCCAUGAAUUACAAAACUGCCGAAGAAUUCUUCUUGUCAAUGUGAUGCGCAUUACGUCAUCACCGCCCGCAUGAUGUCAUGCAUAUGAUGUCAUCAUCACCACACAGUUGCUGCCCCGGUAUUGAUGUCAUCACCGUCAUCCAUUGCAUUGGAGUCAUUCAUCGUGCGGAUGAUGACAUACCCAUACCGUACGUAGUCGUCGUCAUUCUUAUGGGUAGCCUGGUGUGUAGAACGUUGUUCCCUUGGCAACGGGGUUAUAACGACAGCAUACCUUACAUAACAGGCCUCUGGGUGAGCCCUGCAAAAAUAUUUUUAUCAUGAAAUACAUCAUGUCUUUGCUCAUCAUGUCAUUUAGUUAGCUUUCAUAAAAAUGAGGUGUGUCUUUCCUGUCAUCGUCGUCACCGCCAUCCGAAGGAGCCCUUGGACUACUUCACAUUGGUUGACCAUCUAACGAACUACAGUCACUUGUUUUGUUUUGUCAACGGCUUCUUUGACCGAGUGAGAGUCACAGAUCAUAUCACAGCAUGAAAUACGCAUACAUCUAUCUACAUGUAUGUUGCCAUGGAAAUACUCAUACAUAUACCUGUGUGACCAUGGCAACAUGCCUACAUGUACAUGCACCCAAAUUAUUGUCCACACAUGCAUCACUGUCUUUCGGCUAAUAUCACGAUUGCAAAAUUGCACUGGGUACUAAAAUACCGAUAUUUUAGUACUCAUUUUGAACCCGACUGAAAGCCCACUUUCUGGUGAUGUCUUUCUUGCUCUUUUUUUACUAGUUUUACAAAAAAUGUACUUUUAACGCUUUUAUGUUACUUUUUAUUGUCAUCUACGCUACGUCAUUGCACUUAUCCGAGAGUUUGCUGGCUGUUUCUCCUUUUUUUUACAUUUAAAGAAGUGUUCUCUCUUUCUCUCCCUUCUCCGCGUUUCUCUCAUAAUUGUUGUUUUUUAUCAUUGGACGUUGGGACGUUGGGUAUGAGUGUCACACGGAUUAUCAUCCACAUGUC